AAAAGAUAAUUUUUACUUCCCAAAAGUAAAUGGGAUCUUUAUACUGUAGGUUGCUGCAAAUAUCAAGAGGCAAUUUUGAAGAUAUGAGUUUAAGAAGAUAUGAGUUUAAGGGCUCCCCAGACCCAGGAAUAUGGUCUCAAAAAAGAGCUGGAAUUCACAGAGGAAACAGAAGAACAAGCACAUUAAAAACAGAUGAAGAGCAAAAGUUAUCAGUAUCACUAUUUACUGGUGCCAAGGUAUGGUUGACAUAUUGAAAAGAACCCUAUCAAACUUGAAAUCUGGUAGUAGUCUUAC
rnacentral:lncRNA from 1 species